CAGUCAUUAUUGCUUCAAAUGCUUCUUCUGUGCUCCUUCUGAUAGUCACGUUACACAUAUUUACACCUCUUGUUAUUGUUCCACAGUUCUUGGAUCAUCUCUUCCUUUUCAUUCUUUUUCCUCUUUGCAUUUCAGUUUUAGAAAUUUCUCUCGAUAUUUCUCCAAGCUCGCAGGUUCUUUGCUCAGCCGUGUCCAGUGUAUUGUUGAACCUCUAAGGCACUCUUCAUUUCUGUCCCAGUGUUUUUCAUUUCUACCAUCUCCUUUGGAUUCUUUCUUAGAGUUCCCAUCUUUCUACUUACCUUCCCCUUACGUUCCUGCAUGCUGUCCACCUUUCCCUUUGGAGCCAUUAGCAUGUUAAUCACUGUCGUUUUAAAUUCCUGCUCUAGUAAUUCCACCAUGUCUGCCAUAUUGGAGCCUGGUUCUAACGCUUAGUUUCUUUCCUCAAACUGUGUUUUUUUUUUUGUCUCAUAGUGUAUCUUUUAAUGUUUUGUUAAAAGCCAAACAUGAUAUACUGGGUAAAGGAUUUGAGGUAAGUAGGCCUUAGUGUGAAGUUUUGUCUUUAUCUGGCUAGGGGUUAGGCUGGGUUUCCUGUUUAUUGGAGCUGUAGAUGUCAGAGGCUUAAGUCUCCUCUGGAAUUCUUGGUUUUGUGUUCUCAGCUCUCUUGAGUGUCCCUGGUGAUUUCUGCUUAAAUGAGGCCUGAGAACGUGCAGUUCUUUCAGUUGUAUCCUUUCCGUUAUAUUCCCCUGUUAUCAUCUAGGAUCCCUAUGGAUGUGCUGGUAAGGUGUGUGUGUGUGUGUGUGUGUGUGUGUGUGGAAACAUUCUGUAGUCCUAUGAUCAGGGCUCAGUCUUUGAGUCAGCCUGGGUCCCUGGGCUGUGGCCUUCACAAGAGCUUCUCAGGGUUCACCUUCCAGGUGCCCUCGAUGGAAAAGGAAGGCUAGAGGGGCUGGAGUUGGGCAUUUCCUUUCCCCAAGGUCAGUUGGGUUGUGGUAAAAUCCCAGUUGGUUAGGCUCUGGUCAAAUAGUUUCUUUGAGAGCAGGCUUUGUCAAGAAAAACAAAAUGCUCUGGAUCUAUCUCCCAAUAGCUACUUUCAUCUCACUCUGCCAGAGGUGUAAGGAGAGUCUUCUCUAGUCUUCACUGUGAGAAACUGAUAGGGCUCCUGGACAGAAAACUCUCCAGAACUCUUGGGUUUCUCCCACGACUGGGCCCCCUGAUGCUUUUAACUCAAACUUCUCCACACUGAGUCUCCAGCAAUUAGUCAAUUACAUGCUAAGUUUUCCUCCUCUGGUCCUGGCUCCUGCCUAGGUUUCUGCUUCAAUAGGUUGUAAUUCUCUUUGUUUGCCUAGCCUGUUUGUAUGUCCAGUUUGGGGGGCAGUGGUUUGCUCUCUCUGACCUUCAUUCUCUGACGGAUCGAAGAAGAGUGGUUGAUUUUCAGUUUGUUCAGCUCCUUUCUUGUUGUGAGGACAGGAGUGAUGACUUCCAAGAUCCUUACAUGUGGGACCAGAAACUGCAAGUCUCUUUAGACGUCUUGAGGGGAGACUGAGAGGCUUGUUUAUGGUCUCCUUAGAGAAAGUUCCCACUGUGCCUGAGAGCCAGCUUUACGUCAAGACAAAUGAUACAGUUGUAGAAGUCCAGAGGGAAUCUGGACAAGUACAUGGUGAUCUUGGGAACAAAAGACAUGUCUAACAUUUUUUCCAGUUUCACGUAGAGCACGCCAUCAGGGAAACUGUGUCUGAUGGAUCAUAAGAACAAGAAAGGGCAUUCAUUUAAUACAAAGAAGAGACCUUUCAGUAUGAUUCUCUCAGUGUAUCCUGAAAUUGUAGUUGGGGAUUUAUGUCUUCAUGACCAGACAGGCCAUUGUGUUUACAAUGGGUGGCAGGGAACUCCUUAGUGCCUGCUGGACAUUUCUGAAUUUGGAAUUUCUGAAUUUUUCUGCAGAAAAUCAUGCAGAGGAGGAGAACAAAGAAGAAAAAGCAUCAAUGGACCCCAGGUAACAAGGAAUGAUCAGGGCCUGGAAGAGGAUGGGUAAAAUAAGAGGAUGGUUCCCAAAUAAAGACCGAGAGGCCAACACUAGCCACAGAUUUCUAAGGCAAAAGUGACAGAAACUGCUGGUUGAAUUAUUCCAUUCACUUAAGCGAUCAGGAAAUAGCCUUCUACAAAGGUUGUCAUUUGCUUUUGUGAUACUUGUUAUACUUUUGUAAGGGAAAUUAACCCGUCUCAGGGAAUUUGUCGUAGUCACAGAAUCCAUCUGUUCUCUCCUCUGUGGCUAAACCUAAGAUGAGAUGGAUAUCUGCUUUCUGCAUGGUGGACUUUAGCUUGUUGGCAUGCAUUUCAUAGCAAGAAACGUAAUUAGACCAAAACAAUCAUGUCCCGUCACAAUAUUGAUAGAAAGAAGUCUAGAAGGCACAAGGUCUCUGGGCAUCUACAAUGUGUCAGGAACGUGCAUUCCUUGGGUGGCAGUAUGUAAAAUUCAACACCAUUUCUGCACGCGGUUGAGCCACUGUUCUGGUUCUCUGUGUCUGCUGAGUGCCAUUGCUGUACCAUCCAGGUAGAGUUGAUUCUCCUUCCUCAUUGAGUGCUAUCUGGCCAGUUCACUGAGCGCCCACUCCCCUCUCUCCUGCCCUCAGGGGCAGCCAGACCAUGCCCUCAUCAUAGGAGGAUUGUUUUCUUUCUCUAUGAGGGGACUGUCCCUCACUUUCUGUGACCACUCUCUCUACCACCAAUCAGGACCACCUGGGACUCUGGCAUCCGAUCCUUCUUGGUUUCAUCAUUUCCUUUUCCCCCUAGCCUGAGCACAGAGCUACAAGAAAAAGAGAGUGUGAAUGAAGCCCUGAAGGGGUCAGUGGAUGAAGGCCCUGUGACUUCUUCCAGUCACCAGUACCCGUCUGGUUCCCACGAGCCUCCCAGCACCAAUGUUUUCUUGUCUGAGGAGCACGAAGACUUCUCUGCUCUGGUUGCAGCUACUGAGUACUCCCAUCAACAGGAGAAGAAAGCUCCAACAGGUCUCCCAGAAACUCAAAAAGAUCAGAAGGAUGAGGAAAGAGAUGAGCCAACAGCCCCCAGGGAGCUGCAGGAGGAGGAGGAAAUGGAUGACGCGUGUCAGGAUUCUUUGGAUGAAAAGUAUUUGGCUCUUUCCAGUCACCAUGACUUGUCUGACUCCUGCCACCCUCCCGACAGUCCCACCAUCCCAUCUGAUGAGCACGAAAUCUGCUCUCAUCUGGAUGGAGCCCAAACUCAAAAAGAUCAGAAGGAUGAGGAAAGAGAUGAGCCAACAGCCCCCAGGGAGCUGCAGGAGGAGGAGGAAAUGGAUGAUGCGUGUCAGGAUUCUUUGGAUGAAAAGUAUUUGGCUCUUUCCAGUCACCAUGACUUGUCUGACU
rnacentral:lncRNA from 1 species